GUUGAAACACCGGUUCUCGUUCGAUCACCGAAGUUAAGCAUCGUAGAGCCAGGUCAGUACUUAUUUUAGAUGGGGACCGCUUGGGAAUUGGUUAGGUACUGUAA